UAACCAGACACUUGAAUUCAUUUUAAAAUUUUACUAUAAAUCUCCUUGUUUGUUGAGCAAUUCACUUUACAUAUACUCAAUGUUUUGUCAUCAUCAAAAAGGGGGAGAUUGUGGAGUAAUUGAUUACAACCCUAUUUGAUUUUGAUGAGCUCAAAGCAUUUGAGUAUAUCUUAUGUUUACUAAUGAAUUCAAUCUAGUGUUUCAGUGAAAUUCUUGUAAAUUUAUGGUUAAGUGUCUCUAGAUUUGGUUCAAGACAUUUUGGAUAAGUUAAGAAGUCAAUUUGAA
rnacentral:lncRNA from 1 species